rnacentral:rRNA from 1 species
GAGUUUCGAUCCUGGCUCAGGAUAACGCUGGCGGCGCACAUAAGACAUGCAAGUCGAACGGACUUAACUCAUUCGUUUUAGUUUGAGAGCGGUUAGUGGCGGACUGGUGAGUAACACGUAAGCAACCUGCCUAUUAGAGGGGAAUAACAGUGAGAAAUCAUUGCUAAUACCGCAUAUGCUAACAGUAUCGCAUGAUACAGUUAGGAAAGGAGCAAUCCGCUAAUAGAUGGGCUUACGUCUGAUUAGUUAGUUGGUGGGGUAACGGCCUACCAAGACUACGAUCAGUAGCCGGACUGAGAGGUUGAACGGCCACAUUGGGACUGAGAUACGGCCCAGACUCCUACGGGAGGCAGCAGUCGGGAAUAUUGCGCAAUGGAGGAAACUCUGACGCAGUGACGCCGCGUAUAGGAAGAAGGUUUUCGGAUUGUAAACUAUUGCGUUAGGGAAGAUAAAAGACUGUACCUAAGGAGGAAGCCCCGGCUAACUAUGUG